rfam:Alligator mississippiensis ScZkoYb_11, whole genome shotgun sequence.
AAACAGGACUUUUUAAAGUCCAUUCCUAUUUAGAAAUGGACAGGGG